rnacentral:rRNA from 1 species
CACGUAGGGUGCGAGCGUUGUCCGGAAUUAUUGGGCGUAAAGAGCUCGUAGGCGGUGUGUCGCGUCGGCCGUGAAAACUUGGGGCUUAACUCUGAGCGUGCGGUCGAUACGGGCAUCACUUGAGUUCGGCAGGGGAGACUGGAAUUCCCGGUGUAGCGGUGAAAUGCGCAGAUAUCGGGAGGAACACCAGUAGCGAAGGCGGCACUCUGGGCCGGUACUGACGCUGAGGAGCGAAAGCGUGGGGAGCGAACAGG